rnacentral:rRNA from 1 species
CAGGUAGGACUACCCGCUGA